CUUGAACGCUGGCGGAAUGCUUUACACAUGCAAGUCGAACGGCAGCACGGGGGCAGCCCUGGUGGCGAGUGGCGAACGGGUGAGUAAUACAUCGGAACGUGCCCGGUCGUGGGGGAUAACGUAGCGAAAGUUACGCUAAUACCGCAUACGAUCUGAGGAUGAAAGCGGGGGACCUUCGGGCCUCGCGCGAUCGGAGCGGCCGAUGUCAGAUUAGGUAGUUGGUGGGGUAAAGGCCUACCAAGCCGACGAUCUGUAGCUGGUCUGAGAGGACGACCAGCCACACUGGGACUGAGACACGGCCCAGACUCCUACGGGAGGCAGCAGUGGGGAAUUUUGGACAAUGGGCGCAAGCCUGAUCCAGCCAUUCCGCGUGCAGGACGAAGGCCUUCGGGUUGUAAACUGCUUUUGUACGGAACGAAAAGGCUCUGGCUAAUACCUGGGGCUCAUGACGGUACCGUAAGAAUAAGCACCGGCUAACUACGUG
rnacentral:rRNA from 1 species